rnacentral:lncRNA from 1 species
GCCAAAGCGACAUAAUAGAUCCGAUUCUGGCCAAAGCGACAGAAUUUAGUUUUAUCGUUCUAGCCAAAGCGAUAGAACUAAUGUUUAUAGUCAACCCUGAUCAAGAGCGACUUUACGUCUGCAACGACAACUAACCCAUCAAUACAAGUAAGAGGAAUGAUGGGUUGAGAUCAUUAAGACCAAAGCGACAAAAUGAUCUUUGAUCUAUCAAGGCCAAAGCGACAAGAUAGAUCUGAUUCUGGCCAAAGCGAUAGAAUCAUACCUGCAAAAAAGAAAACAUCCUGCAAAACAACUAAAUCAGUUUAAAACGCAUAUUUUAUUGAUUUAUUGAACUUACUGCGCGAUUUUACCUUUCGCGAGAUCCUACCUUUGCUCGAAUGAAUCCUUGGUAAAUCUGGCCAAAGCGAUAAAUUUACCGUGCUCAUAUUCGACGACUUCCGGCCGGAGCGACAGAAGUGUCGAGAGAGUUUGUGACACUCCCCCCUGAGUGCGACAAUUUCUGGACAAAACGACAGAAGUGUCAGAGAGGGUUUGUGAUACUCCCCCCCUGAGUGUGACAACUUAUGGCCAAAGCGAUAGAAGUGUCGGAGAGAGCUUGUGAUACUCUCCCUUUAAGUACCUGCAUAAAACGUGACAACUGUUGGAUCGAGAUCCGAGGCUAUAAGGGGGGAUAAUAGCCACUUUUCGAUUUAUACAAGUUAAUAGCGGAAUUACCUGCACACACUUAAGUACACAAAUGGUUGUAUAAUAAUAAUAGUAUAAUAUUAUUAGCAAUACAAUACUAUUAUAUGAUUUUAAGAACCUCUCUAAACUUUAAGACUACUUCGCUUAGGAACCAGUCUUUUACGGGUAGACUCACACCUUAGAGUAUCAAGGGCACUCUUAAGAACCUCUAACUUUUGCGGGUAAGUUAGUACCUUAGAGUAUCAAGGAACUCUUAAAAACCUCUCUAAGCUUUAAGGCUACUUCGCUUAGGAACUAGUCUUUUACGGGUAGACUCACACCUUAGAGUAUCAAGGGCACUCUUAAGAACCUCUAACUUUUACGGGUAAGUUAGUACCUUAGAGUAUCAAGGAACUCUUAAAAACCUCUGAAAUCUUUAAAGGUAGACUCGACCUAAGAGUUUUCCCGGAAACUCUAUAAAACCAAACUAGAGCUUUAUGGUUGAGCUCACAAACCUUCUCUCACACUUUGGUACUAUUGAGACAACCCUUUCAACCAAAGUGGACACACACAAGAGGUGAUUAGAGGAGUGGAAUAUUAAAGCAAAUAACACUUCUUACUUGUAAAGAUGAACAAGAAGAUUAGAAGAAGAAGUUGGAGAGCUUUUGAAGCUUUGGAAAGCUAGGACACUUGAGCACUUGAAAGCUUGGAAGCUUGGAGGCAAAAACGUGUGGGCAAGUGUGGAGUGAAAGCUCUUGAGUUUGCUUGUAGUGUGGUGAGUGAAAACGAGGGGUUUACCCUUCUAUUUAUAGCCUUGGUCACUCAAUGUCCACCCUUGGAUCUUCAAUGGAUGGCUCCUUGAUUUCUCACAUAAAUCCAAGCUUUGUCUUUGAUCUUAUCUUGAAUAGUGCUUUUCUUGGAUAGAGUUUGUUGGAGAAUCUUAUCUUUGUAUAAAUUCAAACUUGAAUAGUGUUUUGUCCCCUUGGAAUAUUAUACCUUGAAUAAAGUGUCAAAAGAUAAUAAUAAUAUUCAAGGUAAAAAUGCAAUUAUUCCAAAU